UCCGUGUUAACCACGGCAGUCUCUCUAGAGUGCCCAACUGAAUGCUGGCAACUAAAGAUAGGGGUUGCGCUCGUUGCGAGACUUAACCCAACAUGUCACCACACGAGCUGACGACAGCCAUGCAGCACCUGUCACUCUGUCUACCGAAGUAGAAAGCCUAAUCUCUUAGGUUGUCAGAGGAUGUCAAACCCAGGUAAGGUUCUGCGCGUUGCUUCGAAUUAAACCACAUGAUCCACCGCUUGUGCGGGUCCCCGUCAAUUCCUUUGAGUUUUAAUCUUGCGACCGUACUUCCCAGGCGGGGUACUUAUUGCGUUAGCGCCGACUCGGCAAGGGUCAAAUCCCGCCAAAUCUAGUACCCAUCGUUUACAGCGUGGACUAC
rnacentral:misc_RNA from 1 species